AUGGCUGAUCGUCCCGCGCCGCAGAAGCACCAGGGACACACUCAGUCCUACUCCAUCGAUCCACACUGGUACAUGGGCUCUGGGGCGACAGAGCAUUUGACCAGCGAGAUGGGGAAGCUUCACACUCGUGAACCCUAUCAUGGCUCCGACAAGAUCCACACCGCCAAUGGAGCAGGUAUGCACAUCUCUCAUAUUGGUCAAGCAUCUCUUCUCACUAGACAUGCCAAUAGGAGUCUUCAGCUUCGCAAUGUUCUUCACGUUCCAUCUGUGACCCGCAAUCUUCUUUCAGUUCCUAAACUCACACGUGAUAAUAAUGUGCUUUGUGAAUUUCACCCUUUUGAUCUUUUUAUUAAGGAUCGGGGCACGAGGGACAUUCUUCUUAGUGGGCGGUUGUGCCAGGGCCUCUACCGUCUGGAGCAUCCUGGCGUCGCUCGCGUUUUCAGUGGAGUUCGGGUCUCUCCGUCACAGUGGCAUGCUCGUCUUGGUCACCCGGCCACACCUAUUGUCCGUCAUAUUUUGUGUCGUCAUGAGCUUCCUAGUUUGUCUAGUAAUAAAGAUGUAGCAGUGUGUGAUGCUUGUCAGCAGGGGAAGAGUCAUCAACUUCCUUUUUCGGAGUCCAGUCGUGAGGUGAAACAUCCGUUAGAACUUGUGUUUUCAGAUGUA
rnacentral:rRNA from 1 species